UACUACAGAUGCACCUACAGCCAGUGCUGCAGUGCAUGUAAACCCUGCAGUGCAUGUAAACCCAGAGGAAGAGGCCUUCUCUCCACUAGCUCCUCAACCAUCUGUGCUUCACUUUGGUUCACAGUGUCACCUCAAGCCUUUACAUUGUUUAUCAGCUGGUGAUAUGUAAUGGAUCCCAGAGGAGGAAAUGAGUGAGUCAUCUGACGAGGAACUGUCAAAAGAGCCACUUCAGGAAUCUCACCCUGACCUCAAUGCUGCUGACAAGUUCAUUGUGUGCCAAAGCCAGCUGAUGUCCUUGUUUAACAUUUGUUAUGCCUGUUGUGCAUAAACCCAGGGAAACAUAGAGCAGCAGGAGGGAACUUAUGUAAAAAUAAAGCAAGUUAGAGAAUAUUUGUGAAUUCUGAUAGAAAAAGAAGUUCAUAAUCUGUAUGUUUUUAUUGAUUGUUUUGUUUUGUUUUGUUUUGAUCUAUUUAUAUACUUCAUUAUUUUUAUGGUAAUGGUAAUUUUUUGCCUUUCAUGUACAUCUCUUGGGUCUGUGCAACAUGUGGGCAUGAGCAUUAUUGGCAGAACCAGCCAAUGCUGCACCGAAACAUGCCUGCCUGCAACCUCUUAUUGUUUGGUGCCAUCCACUUUUUGGGUUGCAUGGCUACCCAGACCAUAAGAAUGCUGAAGCUGUUUGGGCUUCAGUGCAUCAGUGCCAGCACCUUCUUCUGCCAUCAACAACUGCACACAAUUCCUACCAUCGUACAGACAUGGCAGAAUGAACAGGCAGGGCUCGUCAGAGGUCUGAAUGAGAUGGGGGGUGGGCUGAUCCUCUCUGGUGACUGCAGGUAGUACACGUCGGCUUGCAUCGUUGAUAUAGAAAACAAGUCAAAACAGUAUGAUAUAAUAUAGUUUAAUGUAUCACUUUUUGUGCUUUAAUGUCUGACCACAGAUGUAAAUUAGCUAUGUAGCUAACUCUGGCCCAACAUUUGUGUUGUGUAUGGCCCCUCUUAAAUAAACUAAUUAAACUGUUUUUGACAUUGAUAGGUCAGACUGAGAUAGAUAGAUAGAUAGAUAGAUAGAUAGAUUGAGCAAUAUUUCAUGAUCUUUUCAGCUCCUUUAAUCACAGUCACAGAGCAGUGAGGUCACAUGAUAAAGAGGCAGAACCUGAUUGGUCCUCCAUUGGCAUUGGCAUAGCAUUGAUUGGUGCUUUGCAGAUGGAACCUUACAGGACUAAGUGAUUGAUUUUUGAAAUAGAACCUUUUCUUUUCUCAAAUGCAGCAACAUGGUGGACUUCAUGGUGAAGAUGAUGUGGGAGGUCAACCACAGUGGUCAUCUGUACACUUACUGCAUUCAAAGCUUAUGCCACGUUCACAUCAUUUUGUUCUGACUGUGAUUAUGAUCUGUCCAGACACAAAAACUGUUUACGUCAGCCUCUUCGUAAUUCUGAAAUAACCCCUGGUGAAAAGUACAGAAGUGGUGGAAAAUCUGUGGCAAAAUGGCUGCCAAGCCACUGUGUCUGGAAGUUACAUCUAAAUAAGAAACCGUAUUAAUGCAUAACUAAUGUUAACAAAAUUUAUUUUUUAUGUGUUAAAAUGUGGUUCCACUCAAAAUGUGUGUCACAUCAAAAGCAGCAAAUUUAGGCUAUUUUACAGGUGUGACUACAAGGCUCGUAGUCAGGGAAACCAUCAAAGAACAACAGGCUUGUUCAAGAUGAGCCAGGCCUGCACAGAAUCGAUCACCAGAAAUCACUGCACAAUGCAUGUCAGUUAGAUUUUUGUCCGACUUGAUCCCGACUUGCUUUGAUGUCAUGCACGCCUGGGCACCGAUAACCUCACAAGAUCAAGGUAACCACAGUUUUUAGAGUGGUAUUUCCAAGUCAUGUUAAUAGUUGAUACCAUAUCAUUCAGAACAUCGUCAAAACCGUGAUUGAUUCAAUAUAAGCUUGAGUAGAUUGAUCUGAAAACAUUUGAUUCAAUCAGGAUCAGAUCUAACAAGAUGUGACUACUUCUUUGACUUCCUGUAUAUUCUUUGAAGGCUGCUGGAAACUGUCCGACUUGUCUGCAGCUUUUUGUCACCGCCCCCUGCUGCUGCCGCCUGAUCUCGUCCACUGAGGCGCAGUUCAUCUCAAACAAGUCUAACAUGUGAAAACUCAAGUCACAAUAACAGGAGGUUCUUCCCACUCUGUAAAUAUUGUGUGAAUGCAGGAUUAACCAGCAGUGCUCGUGUUGAAGGAAGCAAAGGUGCCAACGAUAAAAAAUGACAAGUGGGGAAAUGAGAGAUGCUGAAUGCUUAGUGAUAACCUUGUUGAAAAUAAAAGUGAGAGUUUGUAUUUAGCAGGUUUGAGAUGGAAGUAACAAGAUGUUACUGUCACGUGUGAGAGUGGGGCAGCCAGGUAGAUGACCUAAAUACAGACUUGGCAGACAGACUGGUUGAAUGAGGCAAAACAAAAUCAAGCAAAACAAAGUCCAAAAGGGGAAGGGAGCAGGCAGGCAGGUCAAAGCCUCAGGAUCAGGUUGGCGAGAACAAAAGAGUCCAUGGAAGUAACUAUGAACUGGCAGAGAACAACCAGUAUAAGUAGAGAGGCACUAAUGAGGGAAUGGGCAGCAGGUGCAGACACAGGAGUGUAGAUGGGAAGAGGAAGGAGGGUCCAUGGGCAUCUGGUGGACAACUUUAGAAUAGCAGGUCUGGGGACUUGGAAGAGAGAACAUGGCCAGGGAGAAGAGAUGCAGAGAACUGGGGAUGAGAGUGUCCCUGCAGAGAGGGACUGAGCAGCAGACCAUGACAGUUGACUUACAAGCUUGUUUGAUAAAAAUAGCCACAUAACUACACACAAUGAAUUAAGCUGCUUCUUUUGUCAACAACACAUUUAAAUUGACAAGCUUGGGGUGUCUGUGACAGCUGGAUUCCUGGUAAAUCCCAGGCCUGGUAUCUAUUUUUAAAGCACUACCUAAAAAGCAAUGGCGUGUCAUUAUCACCAUGUCUAAGUCGCCUCACUUAGCUCCACUGCAGAAAGUACAUACAGAUGAUCGCAUGCAUGCAUUUCCCUGUUUGCUUUCACUCUCUCUCUCUCUCUCACACACACACCCACACACUUCUUAUUGGUGCCAUUAUGAAGGCAGGUGCCAUCAUCCAUUACAUACUGCCUCCGGCUUUCACAGACAGCAUCGGGUUAGGCAGGGUGGGCUCCUUCUUCUCAUUAACCCACCUCGACAGUUAGGGUGGUAAUCCCAGCCAUAUCAAUCAAUCCUAAAUGGUGGAAGCCUGCAGAAAAUGCUGUGUUAACGUAUUAACGAUUCCCCGGGGAGAGGAGGAGGGUACUAUAAAAUGCAAGUAGGUGAUGACGUUUCCUCCUUUACAUCUUCCUGUUUUGACAUGGAGGUUAUCGAAAGGCCUCAGAUAGUGAGUUUUUAGAUGCUUUACAGUCUGUGACAUUUGUAUUGUCAUAUUUAGUAACAAGGUGUCUUUGUUCAUUGUUUCUGUUGACGCAAUUCAUGAGGAAUGGGGUGUUUUUUUUCCUACUUUUAAUUAUUUAUCAUCUAGGUUUUGAAUAGGGUAUCUAGUUCUUGAAAGGCAGAAAAGCAUUGAAUUCAGCUUAAAAAAAGCUUCAGUAUUAAAAAGUCUUGACAGAAAUAUUAGUUAUAACUUUUUUGUAAGUGUUUGUGGGCUGUCUGGAGACAUUCUACAUCCAUAAACUAGUGAGACUGGUGCAACCAAGCUACAAUAGCUAAUAAGCUAAUCAAUUUUAGUUUCAGUUUUAGCAAAAGGUUAAAAGGACUUAAAUUAUUAAUUGUGUAAUUGGUUAAUCCAUUCAUUGAUUUUUUGCCACUUAACUGCGGGUCACAUUAAUUGACUUAACUAUAUUACUUGGAAUUAUUGAUCUAUACAGCACAAGUAAGUAAUAAUAAGUAAAUGUGUAAUAUAAAUGCCAUUGAAUUAAUGUAUUUCAUAAUUGCAGGCCUUUGUGUCCCUGCUGGUUUCUUAAUUCAUAAUUAAAAGAGCUACAGUCAAACCUCAAACAAUGAAAAACGAUGUAGAAAACACGAUGGAAGAAAUAUGACAUUUCUGUUUGUUUCAUAUACUAAUUUGAGGAGUGUUGCAGUCUCCUUAUCACUCAACACUGAUCUGAUGUUUUCAGCUCCUCAGUUGAGUGGAAGCUUCACGCUUCAUGUACGUCAUGAUUUAUUCACUAAGUCGGUUUCCAUUGCACUUCGAGGCAUUUUGAUUUUAUCACUGUAUCAGCCUAGCAUAGAAAACUCUUCCUGCAAUAUUUUGAGAUUUUUUUUCCCGUUCUAUAUGACUGGUGUGUGUUGCAGUUUGGACCUCUGCCCUGGUUAAAAUUGGGUGGAGCUAUGCUGGAAGUAGAUGUAUGAAUAACUUGCUUGCCUUGAUAGUUGAAACACAACUAAAAGAAAGUGAAAGAAAUGUCAAUAGGCCUUUUUCACAGCCGAUACUUUGACUUGUCAUUAAAAAAAAAACCACAGGUGUUACUAAUAACAUUAAGGGUGUUUUCAAACCUGCAUUGUUUAGUCCGAUUGAGUCAGACACUCUUUUAAUUUCCCCCUUUGUGUGAUUUUUUUGGGCAGGUCUGAACACAGCAGUCAUACUCAGGUGUGGACAAAAACAACUGUGCUCUGCAAGUUUGAGCUAAACAGCUCCUGUAACCAGGUGUGCUUUGCUUACUGGGCUGCAGAUGAGCGAAAUCAUCAGUUGCUAGCAGCUAGAUAGUGAAUUGAGGUCCAAACUGGACUAGCGCAACGAAAUAUGUAUUGUUUUGGUAUUUGGCAGAUAGGAGCUUUUUCAGGAGCUUCUUCUUGUGUUUACUGAACAAAGGGGAAAAACGCUACCAACUCAUCAACUGAUUCAGACCAAAGCAGACCUACUAUUGGUUUGAAAUUGCCCUAACAAUACCACUGUUCUAUUCCAAGUGUUCCAGUAAAUCAUGACAGUGUGACAGUGAGCCAUCAUGCACAAUAGUGGGACCCUGAAACUGAGGCAACUGGAAUGGAAUUCAGCCAUCAUUCAUUUUAUAAUGUAUUACAUCUAUUCUAUACUGUGACAUGUCAAAAUGUCCUCUGUUAAAAAAAGCCUAUCAAGCUUAGUCAAUACACCCACACAGUCCUCAGGAAGGUCAGGGUGGGUAGUGCCUUUAACCACCACAGGAAGCCUUUUUCUGCCAUUAAUUCUUAUGAUUCCUACACUUUCACCAUGACAACCCAUCACAGUAAGUAUGAUGCCUUUUGUCCACUUUGCCCACUGUCACCUGAUACCCACAGACAGAAAUAGAAUCCACUUACAGUAUUUUAACUCUAUAGCAGUUAAUUAGGCUGUAAAUGAAACCACAGAAUACAUUGAUGUUCAGAAAUGAGCGCCCAUAUAUUGCAGAAAGGCUGGAAGGAAUGUAAACUAUAGACAGAGUGAAGAAAUUACCAUGAACAUUAGAGUGGUUAGGUCAAUAAAGAUAGGAAGUGUCAUGGUAACAGACAACUUAUUAUUUUGAAAAGUAAUGAUUGAAUGAAUGAUAAUGUCUUGUUUUUGCUGCCUUCUUCAACAUCUUCUUACCAAGACUUUUGUUUGCCUGCCAACUUGGUGAGGUCAAGUACAUAAACACCAUGUUUUCCAGAGCUGUUCAGUAGAUCUGAGGCUUAAGUCUUCAUCAAACACCCAUGUUGUGUCUGGAAAUAAAAGCAGUGUUGCCAGUGAAAUGUCCUCAUACAUGUCUCAACCCAAUCGGUCAAAGCAGAUGGCUGCCCACCAAGAGCCGGGGUCUGCUUGAGGUUUCUACCCGU